rnacentral:rRNA from 1 species
AGCGAACGCUGGCGGCGUGCCUAACACAUGCAAGUCGAACGUGAACGGGGGCAACCCCUAGUAAAGUGGCGUACGGGUGAGUAACACGUAGGUAAUCUACCCUAGAGUCCGGAAUAACCUGCCGAAAGGCGGGCUAAUACUGGAUAGAGCGACGGAAUCCGUAAUUGGGUUUUUCGGGAAAGGGAGCUCGCAAGAGCCCUUGCUCUAGGAUGAGCCUGCGUCCCAUUAGCUAGUUGGUGGGGUAAUGGCCCACCAAGGCUGUGAUGGGUAGCUGGUCUGAGAGGAUGAUCAGCCACACUGGAACUGAAACACGGUCCAGACUCCUACGGGAGGCAGCAGUGGGGAAUCUUGCGCAAUGGACGAAAGUCUGACGCAGCCACGCCGCGUGAGUGAAGAAGGCCUUCGGGUUGUAAAGCUCUGUCGCCCGGGACGAACAUCCUUACAGUUAAGAGCUGGAAGGACUGACGGUACCGGGAGAGGAAGCACCGGCUAACUCUGUGCCAGCCGCCGCAGUAA